GAUGAACGCUGGCGGCGUGCCUAAUACAUGCAAGUCGAGCGAACAGACGAGGAGCUUGCUCCUCUGACGUUAGCGGCGGACGGGUGAGUAACACGUGGAUAACCUACCUAUAAGACUGGGAUAACUUCGGGAAACCGGAGCUAAUACCGGAUAAUAUAUUGAACCGCAUGGUUCAAUAGUGAAAGACGGUUUUGCUGUCACUUAUAGAUGGAUCCGCGCCGCAUUAGCUAGUUGGUAAGGUAACGGCUUACCAAGGCGACGAUGCGUAGCCGACCUGAGAGGGUGAUCGGCCACACUGGAACUGAGACACGGUCCAGACUCCUACGGGAGGCAGCAGUAGGGAAUCUUCCGCAAUGGGCGAAAGCCUGACGGAGCAACGCCGCGUGAGUGAUGAAGGUGUUCGGAUCGUAAAACUCUGUUAUUAGGGAAGAACAAAUGUGUAAGUAACUAUGCACGUCUUGACGGUACCUAAUCAGAAAGCCACGGCUAACUACGUG
rnacentral:rRNA from 1 species